rnacentral:lncRNA from 1 species
CUUUGUGGUUGCAGAGAUAAAUUAAUUCGAAUGUAGAUACACCAUUCUUACAGAAGACCCCAGAAAACAGGCAUGUGGCUCAUAAGGUUAAGAUGAUGUCUGUUGUGAAUUGACGCUUAAAUACAGUGAAGUAUAAUGAGUGGAUAUACACAAGUCUUAAGACUUAUAAUAAAUAAUAUAUAAAACUUGCUGAACAGGUUAAUUCUUUAGUUGUCUUAUUUAUUUAUUUUUUUUAAUUUGAAAGUAAAAUACUGUAUGAGUUUAUAUAUUUUUAUCUGAACAGUUUUACCGCUACUUCUUCAGGGUGAUGUUGGACCUACUGGUGAAACUGGGAAUACUGGUCCUAAAGGAGAAAAGGUAAAUAAAGCUACAGUAAAUAGAUAAGUCUAUUUACCGGUACAGUCAUCAAAGUAAUAUAAAGUUCAUUCUCUUAACUUUUAUUAUUACAUGCAUUUGGGGUUGCUUGGGUAACUUGAACUGUGAUGAUGUUUAGAGUUUCUAAUCAGAGUGUAAUUGCUGCCGUCAGGGUGAGGUGGGACUUCUAGGUUUAUCUGGUCGAGAGGGACCUUGGGGAGCCCCAGGAAAGAAUGGAGAAAUGGGUCUUAAGGGAGAAAAGGCCCACAUUGGACUAAUGGGUGAAGCGGGGCUGAUGGGAAAAGUGGGACCUGUAGGUCUGGCAGGUUUACAGGCAAGUAUAUUAUCAGAAUGUUCUUCUUGCAGCAGCCUUAAGAUGAAUCUUUAUUAAACAGAUGAUUUUCCUCACAACUAAAAGCUGUUAUUCAGAGUGGCACCCAGUCCAGCUGAACAGAUGCUUAAUUUAUUAUUACUUUUAUAUUAUUACUUUUAUAUUAUUACUUGUACAUUACUAUAUUACUUACUUAUUACUUAUUACUAUAUUACUUUUAUAUUAGUUUGUUUUUGUUCAUUGUAGGGAAUGGCAGGACCUCGGGGAUCCCCGGGACCAGAUGGACCUCUGGGACAAAAGGGGCAGUCUGGGCUUCUGGGAAUUAUUGGACCUCCCGGCUUAGCUGGCCCUCAGGUUUUUCAGUUUUUUUACCAGUAUGUACAGCACUGUGUUUGUGAUGUACAGAUGUACAGGAAAGGUAACCCGCAAAACCACUAUUCUCUAUUUGUCAUGGUUACAGGGAAUAACUGGAGCACAUGGUGUCAGAGGCAAAACUGGGAAGCUAGGGCCCCCUGUAAGUAUCAGACAUUAGUUCACUUUGUUUGGUUUGUUUGUCAUGUCAAUUAGACCCCUUAAAUCAAUAUUUCAGUUUGCCUUGGUGCCUUAAGAUA